rnacentral:lncRNA from 1 species
UUUAUUUCUAAAAGUCACAGAGACAAAACUUUAAAAGCAACAAUUUAUAGUAAGUAUACAUGCAUGAGCAAAAAAAAUAAGCAAGGGAAUACACAAAUGAACAUAGUAAAAUUUUAAUGAAUACAGUAUUCUGGAUAUAAGUAGAAUACCACUACGUAAGAACUGUAUUUACCUCAGAAAUCUAUGGUAGUAUGGAUUGAGAUAAACCAGGCUUAGGAUAGUCACUUCACUAUUCACAUUUUAAUCAGGGUGGACUAGAAGCCAAAACAUUUUAGGCUAAGAUUCUCAAUUAAAUUAUAGAAUGAAUUUUCUAUUUAAUAAACAUGUUUGAAAGUCAUCUGUACUCAUUUAAAGGCAGCUGGGGCAAGUCAAACCACAGAGAGCCCUUACAAAGACUAAGCACCAAAUGACAAAUUGUGGCUUUUGUUUUGGGCCACCUUACAGUUUUUUAAAAUGUAUUUUCCAUUAACAUUUACAUACAGAUUCUUUUCAGGCAAAAGAUCUGACUGUGGAACUUUCUGCUUGAAGAUCUUGCCAACUGUCACUUACAAUAGUUUUUAAGCAAUGAAUACUUCUGAACAAUCCCAAGCCGAUACUUAAUUGGUUAGUUUUAAGAUGCAGAACUUUAAAGUAUUUUGGUCCCUGAAAAGUCAUUAGGGCCAAAUGCCUUAACUGGAAGUAGCAUUUGUUUAAAAUAAAA